rnacentral:rRNA from 1 species
UACGGGAGGGUGCAAGCGUUAUCCGGAUUUACUGGGUUUAAAGGGUGCGUAGGCGGGCCAUUAAGUCAGUGGUGAAAGCUCCGAGCUUAACUCGGAAACUGCCAUUGAUACUAUUGGUCUUGAAUUCGGUCGAGGUUGGCGGAAUGUGUCGUGUAGCGGUGAAAUGCUUAGAUAUGACACAGAACACCGAUUGCGAAGGCAGCUAGCUAGACCGACAUUGACGCUGAGGCACGAAAGCGUGGGGAUCAAACAGG